rnacentral:rRNA from 1 species
UACGGAGGGUGCAAGCGUUGUUCGGAAUUACUGGGCGUAAAGCGCGUGUAGGCGGCCGAUUAAGUCAGAUGUGAAAGCCCUGGGCUCAACCCAGGAACUGCAUUUGAAACUCCCUUUCUUGAGUGUCGGAGAGGAAAGCGGAAUUCCUGGUGUAGAGGUGAAAUUCGUAGAUAUCAGGAGGAACACCGGUGGCGAAGGCGGCUUUCUGGACGACAACUGACGCUGAGACGCGAAAGCGUGGGGAGCAAACAGG